UACGUAGGGACCAAGCGUUGUUCGGAUUUACUGGGCGUAAAGGGCGCGUAGGCGGCUCGGAAAGUCGGGCGUGAAAUGCCGGGGCUCAACCCCGGGACUGCGUCCGAUACUUCCGAGCUGGAGGUAGGUAGGGGGAGAUCGGAAUUCCUGGUGUAGCGGUGAAAUGCGCAGAUAUCAGGAGGAACACCGGUGGCGAAGGCGGAUCUCUGGGCCUUACCUGACGCUGAGGCGCGAAAGCUAGGGGAGCGAACAGG
rnacentral:rRNA from 1 species